rnacentral:lncRNA from 1 species
GUUGGGUUUUCAUUUUGUAGUAAAGUACCUUAUGAUCAUCUUUUGUACAUGAUGGUAAAUGAUGUAAAGAAAAGAAUGUAAAAUGUAUUUUGAGGUAAAUGGGAUGUAAGAAAGAAAUAAUGAAAUGAAAUGUAAGGAAUUCGAGAAUGAACAAGAUGAAUGCAAUGUAUAUGAUCAAAAAUGAAUCAUAGUACAAGUGAAUGUUU